UACAGAGGUCCCAAGCGUUGUUCGGAUUCAUUGGGCGUAAGGGUGCGUAGGCGGCGCGGUAAGUCGGGUGUGAAAGUCUCGGAGCUUAACUCCGAAACUGCAUUCGAUACUGCCGUGCUUGAGGACUGGAGAGGAGACUGGAAUUUACGGUGUAGCGGUGAAAUGCGUAGAUAUCGUAAGGAAGACCAGUGGCGAAGGCGGGUCUCGUGGACAGUUCCUGACGCUG
rnacentral:rRNA from 1 species